rnacentral:rRNA from 1 species
UGAAGCGUGGACGCCAGUCUGCGUGGAGCCGACCUUGAAAUACCACCCUUUAAUGUUUGAUGUUCUAACGUGGAUCCGUAAUCCGGGUUGCGGACAGUGUCUGGUGGGUAGUUUGACUGGGGCGGUCUCCUCCUAAAGAGUAACGGAGGAGCACGAAGGUUGGCUAAUCCUGGUCGGACAUCAGGAGGUUAGUGCAAUGGCAUAAGCCAGCUUGACUGCGAGCGUGACGGCGCGAGCAGGUGCGAAAGCAGGUCAUAGUGAUCCGGUGGUUCUGAAUGGAAGGGCCAUCGCUCAACGGAUAAAAGGUACUCCGGGGAUAACAGGCUGAUACCGCCCAAGAGUUCAUAUCGACGGCGGUGUUUGGCACCUCGAUGUCGGCUCAUCACAUCCUGGGGCUGAAGUAGGUCCCAAGGGUAUGGCUGUUCGCCAUUUAAAGUGGUACGCGAGCUGGGUUUAGAACGUCGUGAGACAGUUCGGUCCCUAUCUGCCGUGGGCGCUGGAGAACUGAGGGGGGCUGCUCCUAGUACGAGAGGACCGGAGUGGACGCAUCACUGGUGUUCGGGUUGUCAUGCCAAUGGCACUGCCCGGUAGCUAAAUGCGGAAGAGAUAAGUGCUGAAAGCAUCUAAGCACGAAACUUGCCCCGAG